rnacentral:rRNA from 1 species
UACAGAGGUCUCAAGCGUUGUUCGGAUUCAUUGGGCGUAAAGGGUGCGUAGGUGGCGGAGCAAGUCAGAUGUAAAAUCCCGGGGCUCAACCCUGGAACUGCAUUUGAUACUGCUUUGCUAGAGUACUGGAGAGGAGACUGGAAUUUACGGUGUAGCAGUGAAAUGCGUAGAUAUCGUAAGGAAGGCCAGUGGCGAAGGCGAGUCUCUGGACAGUUACUGACACUGAGGCACGAAGGCCAGGGGAGCAAACGGG